GUGGCCUAGGCUCAGGGGCGGUAUACGUUAUUUGUUAUCUCCCGGUGCUAGAGUACUGGUCUCCACUCUCCGAGUGAUACCAAGUACAAAAACACCUUCGUUUGUGUGCUGCGCACGUUUUCACAGAUUAGUUCACCACCAGAUGUGCUGUCCUAGCCCACCUUAACGUAUUAUUGUGGGCAGCGCGCAGCAAGCUCCGUAUCUGCGACUCGGUUCUCACAGGGCUGUGUGCAGCUCAAGUACAUCUGUUAUCCUAGGAGCAAGGCAUCUAGUUCCUCCAGCCGCUUCCUCAGCAGAGGUCCCACAUCCCGGCUGGGUGCCAGGUUGGGAGUAACAGUUCUGCCAGCUGUAGCCCUGACCCCACGGGAUGGCCGGCGGGAUCGAGGAAGGCUGCUGUCUCGAAAUUCUACAGCCCGGCGGAGCUUCCUGGAGCUGGUGAAAAUCAGAGUCCCAUUGCGCUCCCGUGGUUCCUCGAAGAUGGUCUCAAAGGUCCUGGACCAGGCAGGAACAGGCGCUGUUAACCAACAUGCCCCCUGGUUUUAGCCUUUUCUACCACCCUUGAGCCUUCCAAGUUUCUCACCUCCUGGUUGUGGGUGACUGAUAAUUCUUAUUGGUAUAAAUUUCUUCCAAACUGAA